GGCGUGAUCAAGUGAUCGCGCC
rnacentral:misc_RNA from 1 species